rnacentral:rRNA from 1 species
GACGAACGCUGGCGGCGUGCUUAACAUAUGCAAGUCGAACGGAAAGGCCCCGCUUUUGUGGGGUGCUCGAGUGGCGAACGGGUGAGUAACACGUGAGUAACCUGCCCUUGACUUUGGGAUAACUUCAGGAAACUGGGGCUAAUACCGGAUAGGAGCUCCUGCUGCAUGGUGGGGGUUGGAAAGUUUCGGCGGUUGGGGAUGGACUCGCGGCUUAUCAGCUUGUUGGUGGGGUAGUGGCUUACCAAGGCUUUGACGGGUAGCCGGCCUGAGAGGGUGACCGGCCACAUUGGGGCUGAGAUACGGCCCAGACUCCUACGGGAGGCAGCAGUGGGGAAUAUUGCACAAUGGGCGGAAGCCUGAUGCAGCAACGCCGCGUGCGGGAUGACGGCCUUCGGGUUGUAAACCGCUUUCGCCUGUGACGAAGCGUGAGUGACGGUAAUGGGUAAAGAAGCACCGGCUAACUACGUG